CAGACUCAAGCCGAGCUCCAAGACUCCAGGUUCACGCCGUCUGUCCUGAACAUCUUGGGCAGGAACCCACUGGGGAGGAUGCUCUGAGACUAUCAAGCUCCUACCCCCCUGUCACUCGACCCAGACUGGCCUCUUGAACUGACUAAGGAGAAAGGUCAUGAAGGCAGAAAAGUAAGAGAAAAAAUGUACAUCAAUAUGUUCUAAGUCACUACUCUAUGAAGAUACCUGCAAAGACCCACAUUCUAUUUAAGUACAGCAAUUCUGGGAAAAAAGUGAAGAGAAUGCAGAUAAAGGAAAGAAUGUAACCAUAGGCAUGGACAUGAAGAGAACUGCACUUAUCUGUAGAGAGAAGAACUGAUGUGGAGAUAAUGGGAGAGGUGGCAGGAGCAGAG